GCCCUCUACGUUUGUUCAAAACUUGGCUGGCAAUUCAACAAUUGUAUCCCAGUGUAUGUUCCCGUCUUCUCAAGUUUCAAGAUUUAUUGAAGCAGUCAUUCUCUGAGCCAGUUGACCAAGAUCAGUACAAAGGUACAGCAAGAUGACUUCCCACCAGAACAUGCGUAAGAUGGUUGAGCAGCUGAAGAUGGAAGCCGAAGUGAAGCCCAUGCUGGUCUCCCAGGCUGCUCAGAGUCUCAAAGACUACUGCGAGAAGCACUACUCAAGCGAUAUGCUGCUGACCGGAAUGUCCCCUACAGGAGACAACCCAUACAAGGACAAAGCCAAGUGUUUGCUACUCUAAUGCUGAGUUCAUCAUCGGCUAGCCAAUCCUUCACCCACCCAACAUUCAUCUAUAUAGAUCUUCAAUCAUCAGCCAUGCUUGAUCACGACAAUUUGAACAUAUCUCACACAUUGUAACCAGUCUCAUUUGGAUAGUUUGGACAGCUCAGUCAUGUUUCUGUUACCUGCAUUGAUCAGCUGAUUUGAAAAGUGGUGGGAAAAAGCAGAAACAACACACUACUUCACUCCUGAUUUUUAAAAUUAGAGAGGUAUACAUUGCCUACAGAAUAAUUCAGUGGAUUUGAGGAUGCUGUGGAUUUUUUCCUCCUUUUUUGAAUGAGAUUUUUUUUUUCAUUUCAGCUAUCUCUUCUUUCCCUUUUUUUCUCUCUUUUCCUUUGCUCUUUUUCACUCUCACUUCCUCUUUCUCCAGAGAAAGUUGUAUCUGCCUCCUAAAUUUACACUUCAUACAUUUUUAAUGAAAGAAAAAAAAAUUUGUAAAAAUGAAAAUUUUGUACAAGUGCAAGUACACUUAGAACCGUCAAUCAAUGCAUGAUUUGUUUUGUAUCAAUAGAUCUUAGUAUAAAAUUGUUAAGUUGUACAAUGUAUGUAGUACAUGUAUUUAUUUUCUUCUUUUUCUAUUAAUGCAUUUUGGUGCAUCUGCAUGUAUUUGUUUGUUUUUGCCUUAGCCAUUGUAGCAUGUUAAAAAAGAGUUAUUUCAGAAUUAAGUCGAAAAAAGAAGAGGUUGAUUUGUACUUAAAAUACUUUAUCCAAAUGUAGUGCACAAUCUGUGAAAAUUGAACUGAACUGAAAGUUUAUAAAUAUCUUCCUUUGAACGUGGUCACUCAGGAAUGGAUGCAGCAUUGUUUCUGUGGGGUUUGGGGAUUUAUACCAGAAUCUCCAAGCCUUGCAGACCAAAUAUCAGGAAAAAGAAUAAAUAUUCAAGAGAACAGAAUAUGACUGAAGUAAUGGAGAAUGAAAUAUGUUUAUGCCACACGAAGCAUGUGAUUGCAUUCAAGAUCUAAGUGCAGUGAGUGACGCAGCAUCAUAGGAAUCCUCUCGUGCAGAAGCACAGUCUCAACGAUAACUAUCUUCUCUAUGCAAGCUUCAGUGGCUAAUCUGUAGUUAAUGCUUUCUGUGCAUCCAAUCCAAGCAAUGUCCUUUGGGCAUGUGUAUACACUACAAGAUAGAAAUCACUUUGCACAACGUCCCACAUCUCAAGCUGCCAUUGUAAUUCUAAUUCCAUCUUUAUUUGUGCAUCAUUACAUAUACUCUGAGUGCCUCCACUUCAUUGAAAUGAUAUAUAUGGCUGAAUAAUUCAACCAUGUUGAUUGUUGAGAACUAUUUUUUGUUUACUAACUUGUAUGAAAACUUAAUCUUCAUACAGAAAUAAUUUAUUAAAAAGUCAAGCGUUGCUUUACUUUGUUAAUAAAGCAGUGCAUGUAAAAUGUAUGUAAUUGAGCUAUUUGCAGAACUUGCGUGUAUCACUUUGUAAAAAUGCAGUCACAACAUAACAGUGCACAAUCUGCAGUUGGAAAAAAAAUUAUCACAUGUGGCGAUUAUUUUUUUUAUGUGUACAUUUCAUUUGUGUUUUGCUUUCAGGUAAUGUAUUUUAUUCUGCUACAUGUAUUUAUCAUUUUUUUUUCUCAAACUUAGCGAUGAAGACCAAAAUUGUCAUGCUGUGGUUAUUGACUUUAUACAGGGUGAGAAUAGUGAUGAGUGACAUACCUGUGUCACUAGCUUGAAAUUUAUUACUCCCUUUUUGUAAAAAAAAAAAAUUCCAUCGAUAUAAAAUUUUCUAUCGAUGCCUUGGACUAUAAUUUUCCAAUGGAAGAGUCAGUGCACUUUUCAUGGUGGUUAAAUUGAUUUGAAAAUAGAAUUUUCAUCUUUUCCUUAAAGUGGGGGAAGCAGGUGAAAUGGCUCAUUUUAUGUGAACCGUGUAGAGUUUGCACUAGUUGUAUAUUUGCUCGCAUUAGCAGGCUAUUGAAAACCAAUUGAAGAGGCCAAAUCCAGGUAUAAACAAUAUGCUGCCUAGUAGAUAUAUUGCAUGCAUCCUGAUGGUGACUUGAUUGAUAAAUACCUAGGGAGUUUCACUUGGUUUCAUGGCCCCUGGUUUUUAUGAUAGAUUGGUUUUUAUGAGACAGUUCUAUUGAUUUACAUGUAUCUGUACUAGAAACUAGAUGAACUCCAUGUAGAGAUACCAAGGUUUAGAAACUGACAAGAACAGAUGUACUCAUCUCAUGCAUAAAAAGAUGUCUAUAUGCUAGAAGUGAAAUACAGAAGCUAAUAAAGUACACUGUUCCAUUGUUUUUGUCUAAAAGAGUUAUAAUAAAUGAUCAAAAUUAUUUGAUUUGCUAUGGAUUUUAGGAAUGAUCAACUAUAAAAGAAUACAGUAAUGCUAUACACAUGUACGUGUGUAAAGGAGCAAUGGAAGAAUCGGCAGAACAAAUCAAUAGCAAGUCAUUUUUUUUACGUGCAGUUUAGAUAGUUUUUCCUCAUCUUUCUACUUGCAUCUUCAUCUAAAGAUAAUCCAUGCCAUAGUAAUCAGACAUUUGUUCAUAUUAAAGGAAAAUCAUGGAUCAUUGAUUCAUCUUUAUAUUUAUUUUUAUUAUCGAAUGGCUUCCAUUAUCAUUACAAAAUAAUUAGAGUAAAAUGUAUGUACAGUGUAGUAAUAUAAAUGUGUCUUGUUCCUUCUUAUUUACAAAUAUGGUCCCUCUUACAGAAAGUCAGUCACAUGCAAAAUUAUUGAACACCUUUUGCAUUUUGGAUCUUCUGGCGAACUGAGUAACAUUGUAAAUCUUUCAAGUGAUGAACAGAUUAUUUCAGUUGAAUCCAGAGAAAUAGUCAAGACUUUUCAUCAAUAUUCCAUCGAAAUCGCAACUUUCCCCCAAAAGCAGGUUCAAAAUAAUACACAAAGUUUCAGGGGGUUGAAUGAUUUUACAUGCCACUAUAUACCUGGUCUUUUUUAUUUAAUCUGUAUAGUAUUUUUUUCAGGACUUCAAAUUUCAAGACAUAAAAAGUGAUGAAUCAAACCAAUUGAAAACAUUCUAAAAAAAACAACAUUUGAUGUGACAGGAAAAUGGGAAUAUACAUAUCAAUAUUUCUAACGUUUCCUGUACGUAUAUCUCUUGGUAAUGAUAAUAUCUCAGUUGGUUAGAAAUCAUCAAAUUAAUAUAACUUUAUAAAAACUCCAGAUUUGCAAAACUGCAAGAUUCAUUCACUCUAAAUAAUGAAAAAAUUGGAGACGUUGGAAACCAACUUCAAAUUUUUGAUCUGUCGUAUUAUGUUAUUUUUUCAUUUUGUUUUGCUUCUGAUCAUCCAGUUUUAAUAUUCUAAACUCUGAAAUAUACACAUAGUUAAAGCGUUGUCAGAAAAUAAUGUUGAUUGAAAAUAAUGUAGAUUGGGCAUUAUUAUGUUUUAAACUUUCUCAUUUUGUUUGUAACCCUUCUAUUCUUCGAAAUAUUUUUGCUGUGCCAAUCAUUUUUAGGAGUACAUGUAGAUCAUGUUUCCAAGGACAUUUUCACAGUUUAUUUCACUUAAUGUUUUAAGAGCCAGGGUACAUGUAUAAACAUGACUGUAGUUUGCAUUCAAAUAUUGAAAUACGGUUGUAUAGAAAUAGAUGUUUGUAACAUUGCAAGGUAAAUGAUUAUGAAUUUAAAGUGUGAAAAUGGCCUUUAUAUGUGUGGACAAAUCACUUAAUGUUCUUAAGUUGCAAGUGCUACUCUUUCAUUAUUAAAAAAAAACUCAUUUACUAGUAGGCAGUACCUCAAUGGUUGUUAUUGUGAUAUAGUAUAGAAGAACUACCUAAUGAGUAAUGACUGACACAAACAUAUUGUGAAUCAUGAUUUUUGUGAAGAUACACAAUGCCUUAUCGACUCUUGAGGUAUUUUCUUUUCUUGUUAUUUGUUUUUGCUUCUCUGUACAGUGUAGCACUUUCAUGUAAUAAAAUUAGACUUUCUUGUAAAGCUGA